rnacentral:rRNA from 1 species
AAUAGAUACCCGGGUAGUCCACGCCCUAAACGAUGUCAACUAGCUGUUGGGGCCUUCGGGCCUUGGUAGCGCAGCUAACGCGUGAAGUUGACCGCCUGGGGAGUACGGUCGCAAGAUUAAAACUCAAAGGAAUUGACGGGGACCCGCACAAGCGGUGGAUGAUGUGGAUUAAUUCGAUGCAACGCGAAAAACCUUACCUACCCUUGACAUGUCUGGAAUCCUGAAGAGAUUUAGGAGUGCUCGCAAGAGAACCGGAACACAGGUGCUGCAUGGCUGUCGUCAGCUCGUGUCGUGAGAUGUUGGGUUAAGUCCCGCAACGAGCGCAACCCUUGUCAUUAGUUGCUACGAAAGGGCACUCUAAUGAGACUGCCGGUGACAAACCGGAGGAAGGUGGGGAUGACGUCAAGUCCUCAUGGCCCUUAUGGGUAGGGCUUCACACGUCAUGCAAUGGUCGGGACAGAGGGUCGCCAACCCGGCGAGGGGGAGCUAAUCCCAGAAACCCGAUCGUAGUCCGGAUCGCAGUCUGCAACUCGA